rnacentral:rRNA from 1 species
GUAGUUAGCCGUGGCUUCCUCCUCAGGUACCGUCAUUAUCGUCCCUGAAGACAGAGCUUUACAACCCGAAGGCCGUCAUCACUCACGCGGCGUUGCUGGGUCAGGCUUGCGCCCAUUGCCCAAUAUUCCCCACUGCUGCCUCCCGUAGGAGUCUGGACCGUGUCUCAGUUCCAGUGUGGCCGAUCAGCCUCUCAGCUCGGCUACCCAUCGUUGGCUAGGUGGGCCGUUACCCCGCCUACUACCUAAUGGGACGCGAACCCCUCCUUCUGCGGAUUGCUCCUUUGACCCCUGAGCCAUGCGACUCUGUGGUCUUAUGCGGUAUUAGCACUUGUUUCCAGGUGUUAUCCCCCUCAAAAGGGCAGGUUGUUCACGCGUUACUCACCCGUUCGCCACUAGCUAUAAAUCCGAAAACCUAUAGCCCGUUCGACUUGCAUGUGUUAGGCACGCCGCCAGCGUUCGUCCUGAGCCAUAAUCAAACUCUGA